rnacentral:lncRNA from 1 species
CUUGCAGUUAGUGAACUAGUCCCCAAGUCAUUAAGAAGAGUACUCACCGAAAACAUUUCUCCAUUUUGAAUCUGUGCAAUUUGCUUAUAAUUUCGGCAAAGUAGCUACACAAGACAAGAGGGAAGAUCAAAUUCAUAACUUUUUCGUAAAAUAAAAUAUGCCGCAAAUGAUAAAAUGCGUGUCAUAUGUAUAUAAAUUUUACUAACCAAAAUUGUUCAACAAAAUGAAUCUUGUAGAAAGGAUAAAAAAACCUUAUGAGAAGAACCGAUUUCUCACAGUCAUCAUAUUAGAAGCCCCAUAAGCAAUUUUCACAUAACUCCAUAAGAAAUUGGGCUCUAAAAUAUAUGGGAAUCAUAAAACCCAUACUUUACCCAGCAGGAACAAUUACAACCGAAAGUAAAAGGAAAAGAAUUGAGUAGAAUUAGGGAUUUUGACAAAUAAAUUAAAACUAGGAAAGUAAAAAAUUAAUGAGAGAAAUAGAUAGUGAAAACAAGAUGUGAGAACAAGUUGUUUCGAUCUGGACUGGAAGGAAGAGAAACGGGACGACGAUAGGGUCGGGUUGGUCGGCAGAUCGACGAGAGAAGCAUUCUCUACCGGCUUCGUGAGGAAAUAAUUGAUAGUUAAGAUACUUUAAAUUUUCUCUCACCAAAAAUCUAAUUUAUUCUUGAGAGACCGAAAAAAGGCUUGGGCCUAGGAACGCCUAAUCUAUAGCGUUUAUUUUUUAAUUCUUCU